AGAUCAAGGCCAUUACCUUUGUUUGGAACAGCCCCUCUGGCGCCACUCUCCUCCUCCUUCUCGAUCUCCAUUGGCACCUCCUUGGCCUUGGCCUUUAUCUCCCUUUUGACCUCAACCUUCUUCUCCUCCUUAACAUCAGGCUUCUUCUCCUCCUUCAGCCUCUUGCUCUCAUUCCCUUCCAAAGCAGCUUCCCUUUCUCUUUCCCCGGCCAUCUUCUUCUUAGCCUUAUCCUUGGCCGCCUUCACCACAGCCGCGAUUUGCUUCUCCACAGUGUCUUCAGCCAUAAAGUCGGUCUCCUUCACCAGAAAAUCGAACAGCCUCUCCAC
rnacentral:misc_RNA from 1 species